CCUACGGGAUGCAGCAGUGAGGAAUAUUGGUCAAUGGUCGGGAGACUGAACCAGCCAAGCCGCGUGAGGGAGGAAGGUACAGAGUAUCGUAAACCUCUUUUGUCAGGGAACAAAGGCGGGGACGUGUCCCCGGAUGAGUGUACCUGAAGAAAAAGCAUCGGCUAACUCCGUGCCAGCAGCCGCGGUAAUACGGAGGAUGCGAGCGUUAUCCGGAUUUAUGGGGUUUAAGGGGUGCGCAGGCGGUCUGUUAAGUCAGCGGUCAAAGCCCGGGGCUCAACCCCGGCCCGCCGUUGAAACUGGCAGUCUCGAGUUGGAGAGAAGUAUGCGGAAUGCGCGGUGUAGCGGUGAAAUGCAUAGAUAUCGCGCAGAACUCCGAUUGCGAAGGCAGCAUGCCGGCUCCACACUGACGCUGAGGCACGAAAGCGUGGGUAUCGAACAGGAUUAGAUACCCUGGUAGUC
rnacentral:rRNA from 1 species